ensembl:lncRNA
GAAAGGCGAAUGUCAGCUCAUCUGUGUUAGAGAACGGAACCGAGGGAUACAUGACGUUGUCUAGCUAAGCUGUGAUGAGUCGGCUUUCUUGUUUUAAGGAAAGAAAAACCAGUUGAGCUUAAAUUUGUGCAGGAACUGAAGCAGAAUCCAAAUACAUGCCUUUUCGAAUCCAUGGUUCCAACUUGGAACCAGUUCUUGAUACCCAACCCUAGUUGUCAGCCCCCGAUGCAGGCCUGGCCAUCUGGGAGCAGUCUACACCUUACUGGCGCCUCAGUGCCACGCCAUCCAUCCCUCCAUCCACCCCUCCAUCCUUCUAUCCAUCCUUCCCUCCCUUUAUCCGCCCACUCCCUACAGAAAACCCUCACUGAACCUAAUCUAUAUAGAGAGGGGCAUGGAGCAUGUGUUGAGAGGGAGACCGGGAGUAAGAUGGUUCAACAGUUGGAGACUGUGCCCUCUUCACGAGCCACUUAGACCCAAUAACCCAUCUGGCUCUUAGCCAGUUGUCACACCAUCUUUUGCCAGAACCAACAGCUUCCUGAACAGUACACCCACGGACCUGGAUCAUGUGACAACCUCAACACGUGGCCAAUAAGGACUGGGCUGCUGAGAGACGGGAACCACAGAGCUGCCCGACUAGGACACACCCUGUAAAGCGCAACGCCCAACUCGUCGGGAGGAUGUAUGGAGCCUAAACGGUUCCGGAAAAAAGAUCUAAAAGAGUAUUUGGACAAGCAGUGUGUAUUUUUUGUUAUGUACAUGGCCCAGUCUGCCUCUCACAGACCAGACAUCACAGCCACAGCAGACAUCCCACCAAGAAUUGACCAGUUAAGCCACCACCAA